AUAUACAAUGUACUCUCAUAAUUGGUUUCAUAGAGAUAGAAGAUUAAUUAUUA
rnacentral:misc_RNA from 1 species